rnacentral:lncRNA from 1 species
GGUUUCUCUGUGAAGCAGUUGUGGAAAGGUUGUAAAGUGACCUCAACUGACUGCUGAGUCGUCUAUUGACGUCAAGAACAUUUUAUAGUCUGGUGUUUGGUGUAUUUUUAGACUCUAAAAUCAUGGCUGAUAUAUUUAAUAGCAUCAGUCUUUGACUCAUGGAUUUAUUGUUUAACUCUUACCAUUUGCUUUUAACAGAGAAAUAGCUAUAGAAUGACAAAACUCUUCCACUUUUUCAAGUGCAUUUUUACCCAUACAAGAGGCCAUUAAGCAUUCUGUUCACAUGCUGUGAAAGUAAGGGGCUUUAGUACUUAAUUUGGAGAGGAAAUGUGAUUGAGGACAAAGCGCAGGACCUGGACUCUUACUGUGCACGUGCAAUUUGUUAGCUGUGUAACACUGAGGAAGAGACUUAGGAUCUCUAGGCAUCAAUUUUCUCCUCUGUGAAAUGGAGAUAGUAAUAUCUGCAUCAUUUGGAAUGCUAUCUGUGUUAAGAAGCCUAGUCUCAGAAAACCCAGUUUCAAAUGGGCUUAAGCAACGGGAUUUGAAGAGAUUGAAGACUGUUCAGUGAUAACUCAGCAUACCCCCAAUUCCACCCCAUUUCACUCUGUGAAGAACUAGUUCAGAAUGGUGGCUUCCUUUUUCUUGCCUUUUGAGAAAAUGUGUGUUCUGUCAGCAGCUAUGAGCACAGAUCUGGGUGCCGAUCAAGACUUUGACGUGAGGCCUGAGAAAACGCAGAACUGAGGUAAAUAGUUCCAGGAAACACUAUACAGCCUGUCACGAUGUUCUGCGGUAUUUCAAAUGUUUUAGAAAAAGGUGAACUUGAGGUGAAUAUGAAAAAGAUAAAGGUUCAUUUUAGUCUGGGAAACAGAAAAUUCUGGAAAGCAAAAACUGAAUUUUUAUUUUCAGUGUUAUAUAAGCAUAGCUUUUUGCUUUCAUUAAAAAGAGGAAACAUUAGUGAACUUGAGUUUGGGGCACACGUCGAAUAAAAGCUAAGUCUGUUAUCAUGAACCUCAAAGUUCUUCAUCAUUUGGCUUCACUGAUUGCAUUGACUACCACUCUCCCCCUCCCUCACAGCUCUCUUGUCAAACAGGCCUUCAUUAAUUUCCUUGUACACUUGCUUUAACCUAAGGAACUUUUGCAUUUGCUGUUCCCUCUGCCUGAAGUGCCCUUCCUGCCCUUCACAUAGUGGAUUUAUUCUCACCCUUCAGGUCACAGCUUAAAUGUUGUCUCCUUGGAACACCAUUGCUAGACCACCCUAGUCAGCCGCUGUGCCUCCCCUGCCCCUCCAUCUUGUGUGCUCAUCUGUGGCUCUCCUCUCCUUUGGGACACAUGGGAAAAGUGUACUUUCUUGACACCCUUACAGGUGGGUAGGACUCUGGGACAAGUGUUGACCAACAGGACAUAAAAGUGAUGUGAUGGUGCAGUCUCAUUACCCUUGGUGUUGUCCAGGCAUGAGAGCAACAUGGACCAGAUCCCCUGGCAAUGUGUGGCGUAUAAAUGCAUGAGUAAGAAAGCAAAACACAGAAAACACAACUUUGUUAAGACACGAUAUUUUUGGGAUUGUUUGUUAUUAAAACGUAACUGCUCCCAUCCUAUCUAAAACAUUACCAUAUUUUAUUUUCUUCAGAGCACUUUCUCCUUUUUGAAAUCAUUUCUCAUUUAUUUAUUUAUCAUUAAUCUAUCCCCCGCCCCUACAUUGUCAGGUACAUUUGUAGAUACACAAUACACUAAAUGAUUAACUUUUCAUGGGGUCUGUGGAUCCUCAUCAAUCUCAAACAAUCUUUAAAAAGCCUUUCAGAAUAGCCCUUAGGCCGUCUGCUAACUACUUAGUCCUGAAUCUGGUAAAUAAAGAGAUGUCCAUUGAUGGCCCUUGUUGAAAUAGGCGAGGUGCCCAUUACCUCAGUGCUCUCCCUGCCUCAUCCAUUUAUCCUGAUAGAGGAAAGCUGCCUAACUAAUUCUGGAAAGUCUAUAAACUGAGCAGGACCAGACAGAAUGAAUAUUGUUUCCAGUUCCUAAUGAGGGUCUCCUCCAAAUACGUACUCUAGGAAGGAAGAAGGCAUGUGUUUCCAGAGUCUACACAGGUUAUGUUCUCUACCAUAUGUUCUCCCCCUGCCUUGACCUACUCAUUCAGAUAGACUGAAUCAACUGACUCCUUCCAAAUGGCACAUACAAGGAAAGUUUGUGUUUUCUACCACGCUAAGAAUUGAACUAAUCAACACCUUUGUGAUUUUCCUUUUUACUUGGAGUCCUUAGAGGCUUUGUUCCAUGCCAGUCUCUCCUGGCUGCUAUGGCCCCGGUGCUCUGGCUUCAAGGCUCAAGACUGGGUGGACUUUCUGGGCUCACUGGCUUCUGGCUCUGCUCUCCCACUGCCACUUCCCAAGCACCCCACUAGGCUCAGCUACCUGUACGGUUGGAGGUGAUCUCUGAGCAAGUAUGGGUAUUGGUCAUGCACUGCCUUCCAAAGAUGGAAGAACCUCACAUAUGGGCGACACUACUCUACUCCUCUUUGCUCCCUAAAAUUACCUUUGUCUCCUGCUAGGAACUGGGAUAAACCAUGUUAUAUAUUACUUUCAAGUUUUCCUUUACUUACGCUGUUCCUUCUUACCUUUCAUUGAUCGGUUAAUUCCUAAUUAUUUUCUAAGACUUGGCUCAGGCAUUGUAUUCUAAGCAUGUGUCCUAUUGGGUUAAAAACCCCUCCUCUGUGGCCCAAACAGCACCCCAGAAGUACUUCUGUUUAAUUACCUAUCAUAAAGU